CCUACGGGCGGCAGCAGUGGGGAAUAUUGGACAAUGGGGGGAACCCUGAUCCAGCGACGCCGCGUGCGUGAAGAAGUAUUUCGGUAUGUAAAGCUCUAUCAGCAGGGAAGAAAGAAAUGACGGUACCUGACUAAGAAGCCCCGGCUAACUACGUGCCAGCAGCCGCGGUAAUACGGAGGGGGCAAGCGUUAUCCGGAUUUACUGGGUGUAAAGGGAGCGUAGACGGCGAUGCAAGUCUGGAGUGAAAGGCGGGGGCCCAACCCCCGGACUGCUUUGGAAACUGUAUGGCUGGAGUGCAGGAGAGGUAAGUGGAAUGCCUGGUGUAGCGGUGAAAUGCGUAGAUAUUAGGCGGAACACCAGUGGCGAAGGCGGCUUACUGGACUGUAACUGACGUUGAGGCUCGAAAGCGUGGGGAGCAAACAGGAUUAGAUACCCGUGUAGUC
rnacentral:rRNA from 1 species